rnacentral:tRNA from 1 species
ACUAUCUUUUUUAAAAAUUUUUAAUCCUCUUGCUUGGAAGGCAAGUGUACUUUAUCAUACUCAAAAGAC